rnacentral:rRNA from 1 species
CUACGGGUUGCUGCAGUGGGGAAUAUUGGACAAUGGGGGAAACCCUGAUCCAGCAAUGCCGCGUGUGUGAAGAAGGCCUGCGGGUUGUAAAGCACUUUCGGUUGGGAGGACUGCUUCUAGCACUAAUAUUGUUGGAAGUUGACGUUACCUUCAGAAGAAGCACCGGCUAACUCCGUGCCAGCAGCCGCGGUAAUACGGAGGGGGCAAGCGUUAAUCGGAAUUACUGGGCGGAAAGCGCGCGUAGGCGGCUAGAUCAGUCGGGUGUGAAAGCCCCGGGCUUAACCUGGGAACGGCAUCCGAUACUGUCUAGCUUGAGUACAGGAGAGGAGAGUGGAAUUCCACAUGUAGCGGUGAAAUGCGUAGAUAUGUGGAGGAACACCAAUGGCGAAGGCAGCUCUCUGGCCUGAUACUGACGCUGAGGUGCGAAAGCGUGGGGAGCAAACAGGAUUAGAUACCCGCGUAGUC